AUUGAACGCUGGCGGCAUGCUUUACACAUGCAAGUCGGACGAGUGGCGAACGGGUGAGUAAUAUAUUGGAACGUACCUAGUAAUGGGGGAUAACCAAUCGAAAGAUUGGCUAAUACCGCAUAUUAUUCGAGCGGCCCAUAUCGGAUUAGCUAGUUGGUGGGGUAAAGGCCUACCAAGGCGACGAACCGUAGCGGGUCUGAGAGGAUGAUCAGCCACACUGGAACUGAGACACGGCCCAGACGCCUACGGGAGGCAGCAGUGGGGAAUUGUGUACAAUGGGCGCAAGCCUGAUCCAGCCAUGCCGCGUGUCUGAAGAAGGCCUUCGGGUUGUAAAGGACUUUUGUUAGGGAGGCGGUACCUACAGAAUAAGCACCGGCUAACUACGUGCCAGCAGCCGCGGUAAUAC
rnacentral:rRNA from 1 species